rnacentral:ncRNA from 1 species
UCGUGAGUCGCUAUGAGCCUCAAGGCACGGCGACAGGCUCCACACCACUCAGGACGAGCGGCGCGGAGUUUCACCAGAAAAAGGAA